GGGGCGGGGCUGGAGGACCUGGUCCUCUGACCAAUCAGAGUGAAUGAGAGGCGAGACUUGCCUAUACCACGUGAUCAUCCUCGCGGACAGCGCGGCUGUGCGGGCGGAGAGCUGUCGCUACCACUUUCUCUGGAACUUCAUUCCACACAGGCUCGUGUGUUAAAGUGACAGGCAGCUGGAAGCUCGGGCUGUGUUUUUGCAGCAGAACAUAGAUCAUCAGCUGCCAUUUCCGCCACCUCCACUGAGAUGCUGCCAGACACAGGUUCCCGUCCCCUCCAUUAACAGCUAUGCACCCUCCCCAGCCAGGAUAUUAAAUCAGAAUAAUUGAGGCUAGGAACUCAAAAGCAAGUUUUUACAGUCAAUGGAGUCAUCGGGAUCUGAAUAUCAUUUGCAUUUGACUGUGGACGGAGAAAGGAUGAGGCUGUCACUGGCUCGGCCAGCAUUUAUUGCUGCGUUUACCCAGAGGGCAGUUAAGAGUCAACCACGUUGCUCUAGGUCUCGAGUCCCAUGCAGACCGGACCAGGGUGCUAGACGGUGAAGAUUUGCAGACUGAAAUCUCAAACUCGUAUGCAGAUUGUGAUUAAGUUAACCAGCAUUUGAAGAACCAAACAUGGAGAAUAACUUGCCCAAAAUUCUGCAGCACUCUCCCUGACAGCAUUGUCGGUCUUUCUGCGCCAAAUGGACUGUGAAUGGUUCAAGACAGCAGCUCACUACCAUCUUCUCAAGGGUAGCUAGAGAUGGGGAAUAAAUGCUGGCUGAGCCAGUGAUGCCCAUAUCCUGGAAAUGGUUUCUAUCUCUAAUUGCUGAGAUUGGGGAGAAUGUGCAAACUCCACACAGGCUGUUGACUAAGGCUGGACUCCAACCUUGUACCUGGUGCUGUGAAGCAGCAGUGCUAUAGAGCAAUUUAAAUCAAAACAGAUGACCCCUGCUCAUUGCUGUUUGUGGAGACUUAUUGCCCAGAGAGAGAUCCUGAGAUUCAGAAAGAGACAAUACAAAUUCAGUCAACUCCUGCCGAGUUAAUGUGAUUAACAACAACAUCAAUACUCCAACAGUGUUAUGAGACUUCGUACCUACUCUAUCAUUUACGAUUUUUAACCCAUGGGAAGUUUGUUACCAUCUUUGUGGGCGGCACGGUGGCACAGUGGUUAGCACUGCUGCCUCACAGUGCCUGUAGACCCGGGUUCAAUUCCCGACUCAGGCGACUGACUGUGUGGAGUUUGC